rnacentral:sRNA from 1 species
UAGACUUUCGUGUAAUUUAAUUUAGAGA